UACGUAGGUGGCAAGCGUUGUUCGGAAUUAUUGGGCGUAAAGGGCGCGUAGGCGGCCUGUUAAGUCGAACGUGAAAUCCCCGGGCUCAACCCGGGAACUGCGUCCGAUACUGGCAGGCUUGAAUCCGGGAGAGGGAUGUGGAAUUCCAGGUGUAGCGGUGAAAUGCGUAGAUAUCUGGAGGAACACCGGUGGCGAAGGCGGCAUCCUGGACCGGUAUUGACGCUGAGGCGCGAAAGCCAGGGGAGCAAACGGG
rnacentral:rRNA from 1 species